AUUGCUAAAAACUCAAAAAAGGGUGAAUUCGCAAACAAUCUUGGAACACCUAGGUUAAUAGUAUACAACAACAACAUAAUAGUGCCUACAAAUAUGACAAUAAAAAUAACCGGCAUAUUCAUGCUCCCGGAUUUGCAACAUUGACGCCAAAGUCUUCGUCAAAUCUGUAAUAAGUUCAGGUGAAUAUGUCAAUCUGAAGCAGCAAACAUUGUAUGAAGAUGGAAACACCAACAAACGACGAACAAACCCAACACCAUACUAAGACGAUAAAAACUUUAAAAAACACACAAAAGAAAAGAAAUAUAUGGAUAAAAAGAGAGAAAGAAACGGUGGGGUGAUUUCAGGCUAAAAAUUGUCAAAAACUAAAAAGAGAUAAAGAAACGGUGGGGUGUGAUUUCAGGCUAAAAAUUGUCAAAAACUAUGGAAAAAUAAAAUGAGAGACAAAAACCCAUUUGGGGUUAGCCUAGUGGUUGACUUGGGAUCUUGGAGUUUGCUCCUCCAGAGGUCUCGGGUUUGAUUCCCUCUAGUCUCAAUUUUGGUGGGCUAAGUCCACACUGAGCUUGCUCUGGCUUUAAAUGGGACUCCCAUAAGUGGGCAGUGGGAUUGGUCCCCUCAGAUUAGUCGAUUCUUGGAUCGGAUACCGAGUUUAAAAAAAAAAAAUGAAAGAAAAGUUGAGAGAAUGUGGGAAGUGGCUAACCUUAAAAGUUGCUUGAUUUUGCAUUAUAUUUUAUUCAGCUAAUAAUGAGUGUGCGUAAGUGGUCGACCAUUAAAUAAUUAAUUAUUUUAGAACUAUGAAAUACCGACACAAACACCAAACAUAAUUGAUAGUGAAAUAAACACUAACGCGUACACUAAUAAUGAUUUAAAAAAAUGACAUAAUUAAAUAUAACCAAAUGUAUGGUGUUAGACACUCACAAAUACACACACUUAAACAUGAAUAAAAUUAUGGUUUUAAGUUUAAUACUUUUAACUUAACUGCAGUAGAAAAAAAAUGUAUUGCUGCCAAAGGAACUAGGCUUUUUGUGAAAAAGCACAAAGCAGUUGUAGCAUGUAUGUAUACAUAUUUUUUGUGAACUAAAGCAACUUGGCUUCAAAGAAAUUAUCUAUAACUAAGUGGAAUCCGCAAUAAAGGCACUGGAUAUGGUGUUGAAUUGUGAUUUGUUUUGAGACUGUAUUAUAAAGUUUAAAAGCUCACAUCAAUUGAGAGAAGAGUUACCCUGCUCUACGCCUCUACAUGCUCAAAUCAUUAGUCAUGCUGAUACAACUUUAGGGAUUAUCAGGUCCUUUCCAGCUGAAAAUACCAACUGCUACCUGUUGGGGUUGCUAAAAGUUACUAAGUGCAACAAACAACAAUAUUACAAGAAAAGCAGGAACGUGUGCAAGACCCCAUCUCCCACGAUUGUAGUUUUAUUUUUCCCCAAAACAAAAUAAAAUAUCUCAAAACAAAACCCUUUGAACUAAGAUAAUAUCUCCAGCUGGAAGGGAAAAAGAAAAUAUCUCCAAAGCACUGUUUUGCACUCAACGGGUACUACCGUCACCUAGUAAAUCAUCUAUCUUUGCAAGGUAAUCACACUUCCUGCACAAUUUAUGCAGAAACAGCUACACUUUUUCAUCUAUUUCUAAAACCUUACUGUUCCUCCAAAUCAGAAACCACAGAAGCAAGGUAGAGACUACAGAUGCACAAGUGAGGGGACAAAGUUCUCACAAUUAAAUCAGAAACUCUAACUAACCAACAGUUCACUGAAAGAGAUGGUGGCUUUUCUUGGAAGGUCGAAGCUUGGUCGAUUGGAUGAUGAUUGUUAAUGAGGUAGUGGAUUUGGCUAAGAGGAGGAAACAUGAACGUUUGAUUUUUAAAGUGGAUUUUGAAAAGGCUUAUGAUUUGGUCGAUUGGGGCUUUGUGGAAAACGGGUGGGGUGGAUAAAGGAUCGUGUGUUUGGGGGUAACGUGUCUAUUCUAGUGAACGGUAGCCCAACGGAGGAAAUUAGUAAGCAAGGUGAUCAUUUGACACCUUUCUUGUGUAGCCGAAGGUUUUAGUAGGUUGAUGUCCAAUGUGGUGAAUCAAAAUAGGUAUAAGGGUUUUGAGGUUGUUAGAGGAGGGACGGUGAUUUCACAUCUUCAUAUGCGGAUGAUACUCUUUGUAUAGGGGAAACAACUGUUGAAAAUCUUUACACCUUGAAGGCGAUGUUGAGAGAAUUCGAGAUGGCGUCAAGUUUAAAAGUCAAUUUUCUCAAAGUUGUUUCAUAGGAAUUAAUUUACCCUUGGGCUUUAUGGAGAUGACAUGUAAUUUCUUUCAUUAUAGUGAAGGGUCAAUCCCAUUUACUUAUUUGGAUCUUUCAGUUGGUGCAAAUUCAAGGAAAUUGUUUACCUGAGAACCUUUGUUGGAGAAAUUGAGAAAUAGACUAAAUUCUUGGAGGAAUAAAUAUGUGAGUUUUGGAAGGCGAAUAAUCCUUCUUAAUUUGGGGUUGAACGCAGUCCAAAUUUUUUACUUGUCUUUCUUGAAGAUGUCGACGAGAAUUGUAAGAAUUCUAAGACUUUGUUUGGGAGUUUGGAGGGAAGAGGAAUGGAGGGCUUAUGGGGUGGAAAAUAUACGGGGAAAUAGAGAAAUGAUUCACAUUUUUUAAAAGAGCAAUUUUUUUAGAUAGUGAUAAAUUAAUGUUUAUGAUUAAUGAUUAAUAUAUUUUUAUUUUUAAAAAUAUUAUAACAACAAAUGUUAAAUUUAUUUAAAGAAUUCAUGUAAACCUUUAAAACCCUCCAAAACCUUUCUCUAAUACAAUUUGAGUUUCUCCAAAUGAUAUGAAUUUUGUAUUAUGAAGAAUAUAUGUCUUCUAUUUCUUUCACUUGCUCCUUCCUUUUUUUUAAUGUCUUCUAAUACCCUCCUCUAAAAAUAUUAUAUGAAGAAUAUAUGUCCUCUAAUACCCUCCUCUCCUAAUGUCUUCUAUUUCUUUCACUUGCUCCUUCCUUUUUUUUUUUUUUUUUUUUUUCUAAACCCCUCCCUUCUUCUCCAAACUCGCAAACAAAGCUAAGAGAAUUUCUAUAGGGAGUAGAGGGUGGAUGGAGAGUUUGUUAAGUUAUACCAUGAGUUGUACAUCAAUCAUUUAAGCUUUGACGAGUUCUUCAAAUUAAUUUAAUUUCUAUAGGGACUGAAAUGCAAUUUUGUUUAGUGAAUGUGAUAUUUUUCAUGUUCAAAUGGUCAUGUAGGGAUUGAAAUGCAAAAAAAGCGAAUUAUAGGGGCUAACAUGAUAAUUUUUUAGGACCAAAAUGAAAUAAUUUUUUUUCACAAAGACCAUUUUGAAAAAUAAUAAUUAAGGGACUAAAAUGAUAACUAUAUUACAAGAACCACACUAUUUUCUUGUCACUUUCCACACAUUACCUGAUUUUACUACAAAUAUCAGACACACACACUUAAACAUUGAUCAUAUAUUAGAGAACAUAUGCAUGACUAAAAUGAAUUAGUUAUAGUUUUAUGUUUAUUGCUACAAGCUGUCAAAAAAACACUAUUGAUUCAGCUGUGGACCUAGUUUAUUAAUGUAAUAAAAUUUAAACAUAAAGCAAGUGUGACAUGUAAUAUAUAAAAUCCCCUUAAAAAAAAAAUGUAAUAUAUAACAUUAACAACAACAAGAAUAGCAGGAACGUGCGAGCCCAUAGCUCCCACGCUUGAAGCUUUUUCACCCAAAUAUAUAUAUAUAUAUAUAUAUACUAGAACACACCCACAAGUUUUUAUGUGGGAGUUUUAGCAAAGCUACAUUAACCACUUUUUAGUUAUUCACUUGCUAAAAUACUCCUUCUAAAAAAUAAGUGGGUGUAUUCUAGCAAAUGUCUAUAGGAUUUGCUAUAACACACCCACUUGUUUUUUUAGAAGGUGUGUUAUAGCAACAUACACCUUAAGGUGUAUUUAUUAACUUUUUAAUUAUAACUUGCUAAAACAUUCCCACAUAAAAACUAGUGGGUGUGUUCUAACAAACUCCAUAUAUAUAUAUAAUAAAAUUAAAAUAUGCUAAAAAGAAAACCCUUUGAACUAAGAUAAUAUCUAUCUCCAGCUGGAAGGAAAAAAAGAAAAUAUCCCACACACUGUUCUACCCUCAUUGGAUUAGUAAAUCAUUUCCCCUAACAAGGAAAUCACAACUUCUACAAAAAAAAAGUUAUCUCUUUAAUUUUUCUUUUUCCCCAUAUAGAAACCACAGUGAGUUUCAAGAGUUCACGCUCAAAUCAGAAACCCUAACUAACCAACAAUUCACUGAAAUAGAUGGCGGUGAUGGAUAUAUAUACCUGAUGCAACGAUUGUGGCGGUCGAGGAUUCUGUUCUGUGACGGUGAAAUUCAGAUAAUG
rnacentral:lncRNA from 1 species